UUUGUAUCUCUCAGUCCUGGCUUUCUCACUUGCUUGUGCUGGCUGGAGUGCUAGGAGGGCGAGAUGUGGAUUUUAUUUGCUGCCAAGGCUCUUAUGUUAUUAUUCUGCCUCUCCCUGGCUGCUAGUAGCCAUAUGGGUGACUCUUCUGGGAAUGUGCAGGCACUGUGUUUUGACUUACAGCCCUGUGUGAAUGGUUUUCUUGACCUGCGUGAUAAAUCCUAACAUGAGGAGAACAUUUGAAAAAAAAGUCUUGACUUGCACAUACCUUUGUCUCAAAAAGUGAAGGGAGCUUUGGAGGAGUUCUAGUGAGAAUUUUUUGAAGUCAGUAAUUGUAUGGGCCAUCUGCUGUGAGGGGGAGAGCUGAAAAAUGGACAAAAAUGUGCUUCUAAGAAAAGGGUGCUUAUCACUGCAACACUAACGAAUCUGAAUUCUCCUCAACUUGCCUCAGAGUGUUCACAUGUGUGGUGCUGAUCUGAACUAAGAUCUAGUCCCUGGAAGCCUUUCAUAAGUCUCUACCAUGAUACAAUUUUUUAUUUUUUUUUUACUGGAGUGUGGCUACGAACUGGAUUUAUUAAUAUAUGAGAAGAUUCUUCCCACCUUCAGUCUGAUGUUGCCAUCCUUUGUGAAGAGGAGAUCAUUAUAUUCUAUUCAUCUCAGCAGUCUGCAACAG